UGAGGCUGUGAAGAUUGUCUUUGGAC
rnacentral:misc_RNA from 1 species